rnacentral:rRNA from 1 species
AGACCCGAAACCCGGUGAUCUAGCCAUGGGCAGGUUGAAGGUUGGGUAACACUAACUGGAGGACCGAACCGACUAAUGUUGAAAAAUUAGCGGAUGACCUGUGGCUGGGGGUGAAAGGCCAAUCAAACCGGGAGAUAGCUGGUUCUCCCCGAAAGCUAUUUAGGUAGCGCCUCGUGAAUUCAUCUCCGGGGGUAGAGCACUGUUUCGGCUAGGGGGCCAUCCCGGCUUACCAACCCGAUGCAAACUGCGAAUACCGGAGAAUGUUAUCACGGGAGACACACGGCGGGUGCUAACGUCCGUCGUGAAGAGGGAAACAACCCAGACCGCCAGCUAAGGUCCCAAAGUCAUGGUUAAGUGGGAAACGAUGUGGGAAGGCCCAGACAGCCAGGAUGUUGGCUUAGAAGCAGCCAUCAUUUAAAGAAAGCGUAAUAGCUCACUGGUCGAGUCGGCCUGCGCGGAAGAUGUAACGGGGCUAAACCAUGCACCGAAGCUGCGGCAGCGACGCUGAUGCGUUGUUGGGUAGGGGAGCGUUCUGUAAGCCUGCGAAGGUGGCCUGUGAGGGUUGCUGGAGGUAUCAGAAGUGCGAAUGCUGACAUAAGUAACGAUAAAGCGGGUGAAAAGCCCGCUCGCCGGAAGACCAAGGGUUCCUGUCCAACGUUAAUCGGGGCAGGGUGAGUCGACCCCUAAGGCGAGGCCGAAAGGCGUAGUCGAUGGGAAACGGGUUAAUAUUCCCGUACUUGGUGUUACUGCGAAGGGGGGACGGAGAAGGCUAUGUUGGCCGGGCGACGGUUGUCCCGGUUUAAGCGUGUAGGUGUGUGUUCCAGGUAAAUCCGGUUCACUUUAACACUGAGGCGUGAUGACGAGGCACUACGGUGCUGAAGCAACAAAUGCCCUGCUUCCAGGAAAAGCCUCUAAGCAUCAGGUAACAUCAAAUCGUACCCCAAACCGACACAGGUGGUCAGGUAGAGAAUACCAAGGCGCUUGAGAGAACUCGGGUGAAGGAACUAGGCAAAAUGGUGCCGUAACUUCGGGAGAAGGCACGCUGACACGUAGGUGAAGUGAUUUACUCAUGGAGCUGAAGUCAGUCGAAGAUACCAGCUGGCUGCAACUGUUUAUUAAAAACACAGCACUGUGCAAACACGAAAGUGGACGUAUACGGUGUGACGCCUGCCCGGUGCCGGAAGGUUAAUUGAUGGGGUCAGCGCAAGCGAAGCUCCUGAUCGAAGCCCCGGUAAACGGCGGCCGUAACUAUAACGGUCCUAAGGUAGCGAAAUUCCUUGUCGGGUAAGUUCCGACCUGCACGAAUGGCGUAAUGAUGGCCAGGCUGUCUCCACCCGAGACUCAGUGAAAUUGAACUCGCUGUGAAGAUGCAGUGUACCCGCGGCAAGACGGAAAGACCCCGUGAACCUUUACUAUAGCUUGACACUGAACAUUGAGCCUUGAUGUGUAGGAUAGGUGGGAGGCUUUGAAGUGUGGACGCCAGUCUGCAUGGAGCCGGCCUUGAAAUACCACCCUUUAAUGUUUGAUGUUCUAACGUGGACCCGUGAUCCGGGUUGCGGACAGUGUCUGGUGGGUAGUUUGACUGGGGCGGUCUCCUCCUAAAGAGUAACGGAGGAGCACGAAGGUUGGCUAAUCCUGGUCGGACAUCAGGAGGUUAGUGCAAUGGCAUAAGCCAGCUUGACUGCGAGCGUGACGGCGCGAGCAGGUGCGAAAGCAGGUCAUAGUGAUCCGGUGGUUCUGAAUGGAAGGGCCAUCGCUCAACGGAUAAAAGGUACUCCGGGGAUAACAGGCUGAUACCGCCCAAGAGUUCAUAUCGACGGCGGUGUUUGGCACCUCGAUGUCGGCUCAUCACAUCCUGGGGCUGAAGUAGGUCCCAAGGGUAUGGCUGUUCGCCAUUUAAAGUGGUACGCGAGCUGGGUUUAGAACGUCGUGAGACAGUUCGGUCCCUAUCUGCCGUGGGCGCUGGAGAACUGAGGGGGGCUGCUCCUAGUACGAGAGGACCGGAGUGGACGCAUCACUGGUGUUCGGGUUGUCAUGCCAAUGGCACUGCCCGGUAGCUAAAUGCGGAAGAGAUAAGUGCUGAAAGCAUCUAAGCACGAAACUUGCCCCGAGAUGAGUUCUCCCUGAGACUUAGAGUCUCCUGAAGGAACGUUGAAGACGACGACGUUGAUAGGCCGGGUGUGUAAGCGCAGCGAUGCGU